rnacentral:rRNA from 1 species
AUACGGAGGAUGCGAGCGUUAUCCGGAUUUAUUGGGUUUAAAGGGUGCGCAGGCGGGCGAUUAAGUCAGCGGUGAAAGGCUCGGGCUCAACCGGAGCAGUGCCGUUGAUACUGGUCGUCUUGAAUGCGGUCAAGGCCGGCGGAAUGGGGCGUGUAGCGGUGAAAUGCAUAGAUAUGCCACAGAACACCGAUAGCGAAGGCAGCUGGCCGGGCCUGCAUUGACGCUGAGGCACGAAAGCGUGGGGAUCGGACAGGAUUAGAUACCCUGGUAGUCCGCGCUGUAAACGAUGGACACUCGUUGUCGGCGACAGACAGUCGGCGGCCAAGCGAAAGUGAUAAGUGUCCCACCUGGGGAGUACGGUCGCAAGACUGAAACUCAAAGGAAUUGACGGGG